AGACAUCGCUGCGGCCGGGAUAGGGCGCCGCCGUUCUGGCCGGCUUUCUCGGUGCCCUGGAGGACCUGGCCGGCUCCGCGGGAAGCUGUACUCAGAGCGCGCGGCCGCCCUCUGGCAGGGAGGAGUUCGUUGCACUUUUGAGGGUUCUUCACGAAGACAUCCAAUACAUAGAAAACAAGUAACAGCAACAGUAACGAAUUUUUAAAUAUUAAAAUUGCUGGGGAACACGACGGAUCCUGCAGCUGCUCGGCUGUCCCGGUCGUCAGUGACGCUAGGGCUCCGCACCGUACCCUGCAUACCGUAGGUGCUCACGAAACGUUCGUGAGUUCCCUGCUCUGAGGAAACAAGCUUAAAAACUCAGAAUCUAAGGUGUGAGUCUCCGCAAACCUGCUUGUUGGGCAGCGUCCCCCGCCCGGGCUAGCCCUGCACGCCCCACCCCGGAGCCACGCUUCUCCAGCCGGGACCCCUGCCUCCUUCCAGGCUAUUCUCGGAACCGCAGCCAGAGGGAAUUUUUUUUUCCUUUCCUGAAACGUAGAGCAGAUCUGGUUACUCUUCUGCACAACGCCCUAAAAUCUAGGGCCCUUCCCAUCCCUCAGAAUUUACAUCUAAUUCUCAGCUCCCCUCCGGCUUGCUGUAGCCAUCCUGGCUUUUGUUUAGCACAGCACUUACUGUUAGUGACAUUAUAUUGUAUAUUAUUAACAUAUUUGUGUUUUACAUCCCUCACUAGACCCCCAGGAAAGAGGCUUUGAUGUGUUGCCUGCUGCAAGGCUGGCUGCAUAAUUUGUGGAGCUCAGAGAAAAGUGCGGAGCUUCCUUGUUCAAAAAACAGAAAGAAAGUGCCUCUGAGGUCAUAAAAUAUAAAACUUUCUCUUUCCUCUCAGUUUCUCUCUUUUCAUAGUGUUUUUAUGUGUUAUUUAAUAUCAUUCCAAGAAAAAUUUAGAUUUAAAUUGUUAGCAUGAAGUUCACCAUCCAUCUUUACGUUGUGCAAUGCCAGUUUUAAAUACUAAUAUAAGUGCACUGAUCUCAUAUGUGGAAUCACAGAAAUUAUGCAAUUUGUACUUCAUAGCUUAUACAUGCAUAUAGAUUUUGUUUUUACCAGAACCACGCUGGUAAAAACAGAUGCUGCACAAAGUGAACUUGCCCGUUUUCAUCGCACUUUACGUGCACGAAUUCUACCUCUACUCUCGACCUGGGACUCACCGAUGCGUAAGGAAGGACUGAAAAGCAAAAGAACUAUGGACUGGCCUUUUGGCAUGAUCAGGUGUCUAAUAUAAAGAAGUGCAUGAAUAAGAAAAUAUAUGAUAUGAGUGAUGGUUAAUACUGACUGUCAACUUGAUUGGAUUGAAGGAUGCAAAGUAUUGAUCCUGGGUGUGUCUGUGAGGGUGUUGCCAAAGGAGAUUAACAUUUGAGUCAGUGGGCUGGGAAAGUUCGACCCACUGUUAAUCUAGAUGGACACCAUCUAAUCAGAUGCCAGUGCAGCUAGAAAUGUAAAGCAGACAGAAAAAUGCGAAAAGAGAGACUGGCCUAGCCUGCCAGCCUACAUCUUUCUCCCACGCUGGAUGCUUCCUGCCCUCGAACAUCAGACUCCAAGUUCUUCAGUUUGGGACUUGGACUGGCUCUCCUUGUUCCUCAGCUUGAAGACUGCCCAUUGUGGGACUUGUGAUCAUAGGUGGAGCACCUAUCCAGUGAGGCUGUGAGGAAGGCCUUAUACCAAGAAUAGGAGAAAGCUAGAAGGAGCCCAUACCUCUGACUGCCCUUGACUGCCCACGCAAGAACUCAUGCUGGAAAAACAAAGCCCUGUUUAGGUGCCAUGAUAAAUAAGCCAGUUUGAGUCACUUGGUCUAAUAUCGAGACCACGAACAUAUUGAUCACAGAAUGUGUUAGGUAAGCAUGUUGUUGACUGAAGUGUAAGUAAGGUGCUCACCUUAAAUGCAUGUGCCAACAUCAGCAUCUUCAGAAGAGUCUCUUUCCCUUUGGGACAUCGAGGUGACUGACAGUUAAACAAGCCGUAUUUGGAGUAGGUGUACAAUCAGCCUCCUUCCAGUUCUCCUUGGCACUUUCCAGUUCACAAAGGACACUUCACUCCUUUUUGGUUUUUUUGAGACAGGGUCUCACUCUGUCACCCAGGCUAGAGUACGGUGGUGAGAUCACCCCUCACUGCAACCUCCGUCUCCUGGGCUCAAGUGAUCCUCCCACCUCAGCCUCCCAAGUAGCUGGUACCACAGGUGCAUGCCACCACACCUGGCUGAUUUUUGUAUUUUGUGUAGAAGGGGGUAUUGCCCUAUCGCCUAGGCUGGAAGGCUGUUAAGAGGAGAACUGAGCAAUGAGGAUCCCAUCCUGGACUUCGCAGACUUGCUGUGCUUUUGAAUGCUUCUCUCACGGUCAGAGCCUGCACUGGAAAAGAUGGCAUUUGGGACAACACACCUGGCUGCUGCCCCAGGAAGAAAGUAGUGAACACUGGAGGACUGUCAGCCCUGUCAGUUUCUGGAAAUGUGCCCUGAGUUUAAGUUCUGGUUUCAGAUUAUGAGGAGCAAAAUUACUGAGUAGGCCUCCUCCUAGAACAGGAAGCUCUUCCCGCUGUGGGCCAGUGGCUCUGACAUAUCACAGAGCCUGCUCUGAUGAAGGCAGCAGGAAUGAUUUCAAAACAAGCAAAACCAAAGAAAACUGUUUGACAAUGGAAGUAAUAGAGGCUCAUUUUAGAAAACAUAGACAUAAAGAAAAAAAGAAGAAUCUUCCAUAACCCACAGAUUAUAACUACUUACAUACCUUCCAGGCUUUAUUUCUCUUUUUUAAAAAACAAAUGUUAAAGUGGAAUUUACCUAUAAAAAAGAUACAGGUCCUAAGAGCACAGCUUGGCUUGAUCAAUUUUCUCAAGUUGAAUGCACCUGUGCAAUCAGUGCCAGGCUGAACACACAGCCUCAGCAGCGCCUGGAAGCUUUUCCAAGCCUCCUUAUUGUCAUCCCUCCCUCCCCAGGGGUAGCUGCGAUCACUGUAGCUUUGGUCUGAACUAUAUAUAAAUGCAAUCAUGCCACGUUAUGUUUCUGAGACUCACCCACACCCUGGCAAGCCAUUGCAGUUUGUUUAUUCUCAAUGUUCUACAAGCAGCAGUCCCCAAGCUUUUUGGCACCGGGGACCAGUCUCAUGGAGGACGAUUUUUCCGCAGACCAGGUGGGGAUGGUUUUGGAAUGAUUCAAGCACAUUCCAUUUAUUGUGCACUUUAUUUCUAUUACUGUUGCAUUGUAAUAUAUAAUGAAAUAAUUAUAUAACUCACCAUAAUGUAGAAUCAGUGGGAACCCUGAGCUUGUUUUCCCCCAUCUAGAUGGUUUCAUCUAGGGGUGGGGGGAUGAAAGACAGUGACAGAUUAUCAGGUAUUAGAUUCUCAUAAGAAGCUUGCAACCUGGAUUCUUCGCAUGCUUAGUUCACAGUAGGGUUCACGCUCCUAUGAGAAUCUAAUGCUGCCACAGAACUGACAGGAGGCAGAGCUCAGAUGGUAAUGCUCACUUGCCCACUGCUCACCUCCUGCUGUGCAGCCCUGUUCCUUACAGGCCAUGGACUGGUACCACACAACUAUUUGGCCAUAGCUACAAAAGCUGAUUACAGGUGUAAUUACAGAUUACAUCACUAUUACAUAGCCUACAAAGAGGUUUAAUUGGACUUAUAAGUCCACAUGACUAGGGAAGCUUCACAAUCAUGGCGGAAGGCAAGGAGGAGCAAGUCACAUCUUACAUGGAGGGCAGCAGGCAAAGAGAGAGCUUGUGCAGGGAGACUCAUUUUUCAAAACCAUCAGAUCUUGUGAGACUUAUUCACUAUCAUAAGAACAGUGUGGGAAUUACAAAUUACAUAGCUAUGUAGUUACAAAUUACAUAGCUAAUUACACCUGUAAUCAACUUUUGUAGCUAUGGCCAAAUAGUUUUCCCAAGUGGUUGCACCAAUUUACACUCCCACCAACAGUACAUGAUCCUGCUGGCAGCUCAAUCUACAUUCUUAUUAACUGCAUUAGUCCAUUUUCACGUUGCUGAUAAAGACAUACCUGAGACUGGGCAAUUUACAAAAGAAAGAGGUUUAAUUGGACUCACAGUGUGUGACUGGGGAAGCCUCACAAUCAUGGUGGAAGGCAAGGAGGAGCAAGUCACGUCUUAUGUGGAUGGCAGCAGGCAAAGAGAGAGCUUGUGCAGGGAGACUACCAUUUUUCAAAACCAUCAGAUCUUGUGAGACUUAUUCACUCUCAUGGAACAGCAUGGGAAAGACCUGCCCCCACAAUUCAAUUACCUCGCACCAGGUACCUCCCACAACACAUGGGAAUUCAAGAUGAGAUUUGGGUGGGGACACAGCCAAACCAUAUCAUCGACCCUUUGUUUUUCCCCAUCUUUUUCAUUUUAGCCAUUCUUUUCAUGUGUAUUAGACAUUUGGAUAGCCUCAUUUGUGAAAUGUCUCAUUUUUUCUACUAGGCUUUUCAUCUCUUUAUUGAUCUAAAACAUUUUUAAUAUAUUAGACAUAUGUAUUGCAAAUCUCUUCUUCUACUGUGGAAGUGGCUUUCAUUUCUAUUCAUUUCAGACUGUUUUAAUGCUAUCUUAUUUCUUUCUUUAUGAUUCAGCACUCUUUGUGUCCUGCUUAAGAACUCUUUGUCUAUUUCAUGUUCAUUAAAAUGUGAUUUUUUUCUACAGUCUUCAUUAUUUUUCCUUUAACAUUUAAAUUUAUAAUAAAUCUGGGUGUGAUUUUUAUACAGUGCAUUUUUCUUCCCAAGAUAUCCAGUUGUCUCAG
rnacentral:lncRNA from 1 species